AUUGAACGCUGGCGGCAUGCCUUACACAUGCAAGUCGAACGGUAGCGGGCCUUCGGGUGCCGACGAGUGGCGAACGGGUGAGUAAUGUAUCGGAACGUACCAUUGAGCGGGGGUUAACGUAGCGAAAGUUACGCUAAUCCCGCAUAUUCUCUCCGGAGGAAAGCAGGGGACCGUCAGGCCUUGCGCCCUUUUAGCGUCCGAUAUCAGGUUAGCUAGUUGGUGAGGGAAAGGCUCACCAAGGAGCCGAUCUGUAGCGGGUCUGAGAGGAUGAUCCGCCACACUGGAACUGAGACACGGUCCAGACUCCUACGGGAGGCAGCAGUGGGGAAUUUUGGACAAUGGGGGCAACCCUGAUCCAGCCAUGCCGCGUGAGUGAAGAAGGCCUUCGGGUUGUAAAGCUCUUUCGGCCGGGAAGAAAUCGCAUGGGCUAAUACCCUGUGCGGAUGACGGUACCGGCAUAAGAAGCACCGGCUAACUACGUGCCAGCCGCCGCGGUAAAAC
rnacentral:rRNA from 1 species